GACGCUCGGGUGGUCGGGGUUCGAUUCCCAUCCCCGUGCCAUAUUUUCUUUUCCUCCCAGAGAAAACCAUCAACCCACCUGGCGAUCGCAUCUCCGCUCGUAGGGGAGGCCGUGGUCGGUAUCGCUCUGCACGGGCUCACGCUGGAGGAGCUCUUGACGGCAGUAUGGCACGGAGGACGAGGAGCCUCCAGACUUGCCGCCCGCAGCUGUCGGCCUUCCAAUCCCUCCAGAUCUGUCGCCGAGGAGACCGCUGACCAUAGAGGCCACGGAGGAGGUGUCGGAUCUCGCCGAGUUUAUGCACCAGGCGGUGUCACUUCUAGCCGACGAUGACCCCUCCGACAACGCCGUGCUGAGCCACCCCGCCACCUUCCUCAACGAGGCACCGUGCCGUGGUGCGUCAUUUUGUUGCCUCUGAAAUAAACAACUCUGCUCUGUCGCAAGAAGGAAUUGUUUCGAUACUAAAAGGCAAAGAUUUACAUCGAUGCACUCAGAUAUGCAAUGAAACUGUGUGAAGGUGAUGAUUGGUAUGGAAAUGGUGAAAAUUAGGUUGUACCGGUUAGCUUGCGAGAUAUGCUGAUCAGGUGAUGGCUUGGGGGAAAGUCAUGCUUGGACAGGAAGGGAGUGGCAAUUGCCUUUUGCACAACCAAAAAACAGCUUUUAGUCAACGAAGGAUUGUUCCUAACCAUCCUUGUACUGAACUUUCUCAACCUGACAUGUGAUUGCAGCUAAUGUCAAUCAUUUGCCUAUCGUUUGGUAUUAGAGAAUGAAUAGGAUUCCACCAUUCUUGUAUUGCAGUUAAUUUGACCUUAAGGCAUGGAUAAUAUUGUUUGGCCUGAAACAAUUAUAUCGGCCACCUAAUUUUUUGCAAUAUAAUUUGGUUGAGUUUGUAUA